rnacentral:rRNA from 1 species
UACGAAGGGGGCUAGCGUUGUUCGGAUUUACUGGGCGUAAAGCGCACGUAGGCGGAUUGUUAAGUCGGGGGUGAAAGCCUGUGGCUCAACCACAGAAUUGCCUUCGAUACUGUUUGGCUUGAGACCGGAAGAGGUUAGUGGAACUGCGAGUGUAGAGGUGAAAUUCGUAGAUAUUCGCAAGAACACCAGUGGCGAAGGCGGCUGACUGGUCCGGUUCUGACGCUGAGGUGCGAAAGCGUGGGGAGCAAACAGG